rnacentral:ncRNA from 1 species
AAAUGAGAAGAGCGGCUUAAGCCAUUAGGUGUACAUGCUUUCCAAAAGUGGAAGCUUCUAGUUCUUUCUAUUUGAUCGGAAAUUGAUCAAUCUAGCCAUGAGCAAGUUAAAAAAGAUCUUUAACAGGCCUUGGAGGACCGAACCUACGUAUUUGGCAAAUUAUGGAGAUGAUUACUUGUGGCUAGGAGUGAACCAAGAUCGGAUAUAGCUGG